rnacentral:rRNA from 1 species
UACGUAGGGUGCAAGCGUUUAUCCGGAAUUAUUGGGCGUAAAGAGCUCGUAGGCGGUUUGUCGCGUCUGCUGUGAAAACUGGAGGCUCAACCUCCAGCCUGCAGUGGGUACGGGCAGACUAGAGUGAUGUAGGGGAGACUGGAAUUCCUGGUGUAGCGGUGAAAUGCGCAGAUAUCAGGAGGAACACCGAUGGCGAAGGCAGGUCUCUGGGCAUUAACUGACGCUGAGGAGCGAAAGCAUGGGGAGCGAACAGG